UUGGUUUUUGAGGGUCUUUGUUGUGUAGAGCUUUGUUUUAAGUGGCUUGACUUGUGCUCAGCUCCAUCAUGGGGGAGGAAGAUGCUUGGAUGGUGAAGUGGGUUUUGGUGUGGGGGUGUCCUAACUCUGCCCUGGGUUUCCUCUUUUGUGACUGCCAAGCUUCUGAAUUCACAGCUAAGCAUGGGUGAGCCAAAGCUCAGCUUCUUUUCAGUCUGUAAGCUGUCCCUGGGUCUUUCUCUGAGGCUUUUAUUUGUCUUUCUGGGAUUUCUAGCCCUUGGAAAUAAAAAGAGGGCAAAGGGAUGAAGACAUGCUCAAAGCCUUUUCUGAGUUCCUGGAGGUAUGUAAAAAUUCAUCAGGUGUUUAGUGUUUUCACCUAAUGGUUGAAAUAGCCUCCUUCAUGGAGGAGGCUGUAAUGAAAUGUGUGUUGUUAUGAUAUUACAGAUAAGUCUCAGUGAAUCCUUUUCAAAAGGAAGAAUUUGCCUGGG
rnacentral:lncRNA from 1 species